UGAAUUAGAGCGUCUCUUCGGAGAGCUCAACCUUCAUUUUCCAACUCUGUGCACUAUUGGCGGAUUAGUAAGCGAUUACUAGUCCGCGGCUCAUUUUAAACAUUAGUUAUUGUAUGUAAAUAAAAUAUAAAAUAAGAAAAACUUUCAACAACGGAUCUCUUGGUUCUGGCAUCGAUGAAGAACGCAGCGAAAUGCGAUAAGUAAUGUGAAUUGCAGAAUUCAGUGAAUCAUCGAAUCUUUGAACGCACAUUGCGCCCUGUGGUAUUCCGCAGGGCAUGCCUGUUCGAGCGUCAGUACAACACUCAAGCUCAGCUUGGUCUUGAGCCCAGCGGGAGGUUUCCCCCGCGGGCUUUAAAAUCAGUGGCGGCGCCAUUAGGCCCUAAGCGUAGUAAUACUCCUCGCUCUUGAGUCCUGGUGGCUGUUUGCCAGCAACCCCCAACUUCUAAGUUUGACCUCGGAUCAGGUAGGGAUACCCGCUGAACUUAAGCAUAUCAAUAAGCGGAGGAAAAGAAACCAGCAGGGAUUACCUCAGUAACGGCGAGUGAAGCGGUAACAGCUCAAAUUUGAAAUCUGGCUCUUUUAGGGUCCGAGUUGUAAUUUGUAGAAGAUGCUUCGGGUGUGGCUCCGGUCUAAGUUCCUUGGAACAGGACGUCAUAGAGGGUGAGAAUCCCGUAUGUGACUGGUUGCCUUCGCCCAUGUGAAGCUCUUUCGACGAGUCGAGUUGUUUGGGAAUGCAGCUCAAAAUGGGUGGUAAAUUUCAUCUAAAGCUAAAUAUUGGCCAGAGACCGAUAGCGCACAAGUAGAGUGAUCGAAAGAUGAAAAGCACUUUGGAAAGAGAGUUAAACAGUACGUGAAAUUGUUGAAAGGGAAGCGCUUGCAACCAGACUUGCACGUGGGUAAUCAUCUGGGGUUCUCCCCAGUGCACUUGCUCACGUUCAGGCCAGCAUCGGUUUGAGUGGUUGGAUAAAGGCCUUGGGAACGUAGCUUCUUUCGGGGAGUGUUAUAGCCCUCGGUGCAAUGCAGCCUACUCGGACCGAGGACC
rnacentral:rRNA from 1 species